rnacentral:tRNA from 1 species
UGGGGAGUGGUCUAACGGCAUGAUGCGGCCCUUUGGAGGCCUGCGAUGGCGGUUCGAAUCCGUCCUCCCCAA